UAUCACAGCGCUUGCUUUGACAUG
rnacentral:miRNA from 1 species